rnacentral:rRNA from 1 species
AGAGUUUGAUCCUGGCUCAGAUUGAACGCUGGCGGCAGGCCUAACACAUGCAAGUCGAACGGUAACAGGAUGUGCUUGCACAUCGNUGACGAGUGGCGGACGGGUGAGUAAUGCUUGGGAACUUGCCUUUGCGAGGGGGAUAACAGUUGGAAACGACUGCUAAUACCGCAUAAUGUCUUUGGACCAAACGGGGCUUAGGCUCCGGCGCAAAGAGAGGCCCAAGUGAGAUUAGCUAGAUGGUGAGGUAAAGGCUCACCAUGGCGACGAUCUCUAGCUGUUCUGAGAGGAAGAUCAGCCACACUGGGACUGAGACACGGCCCAGACUCCUACGGGAGGCAGCAGUGGGGAAUAUUGCACAAUGGGGGAAACCCUGAUGCAGCCAUGCCGCGUGUGUGAAGAAGGCCUUCGGGUUGUAAAGCACUUUCAGUUGUGAGGAAAGGGUGUUGGUUAAUACCCAAUAUCUGUGACGUUAACAACAGAAGAAGCACCGGCUAACUCCGUGCCAGCAGCCGCGGGUAAU